rnacentral:rRNA from 1 species
CUGCAGUGGUGGGGGUUGGAAAGUUUCGGCGGUUGGGGAUGGACUCGCGGCUUAUCAGCUUGUUGGUGGGGUAGUGGCUUACCAAGGCUUUGACGGGUAGCCGGCCUGAGAGGGUGACCGGCCACAUUGGGACUGAGAUACGGCCCAGACUCCUACGGGAGGCAGCAGUGGGGAAUAUUGCACAAUGGGUGGAAGCCUGAUGCAGCAACGCCGUGUGCGGGAUGACGGCCUUCGGGUUGUAAACCGCUUUCGCUCAUGACGAAGCUUUGUGUGACGGUAGUGGGUAAAGAAGCACCGGCUAACUACGUG